rnacentral:rRNA from 1 species
GACGAACGCUGGCGGCGUGCUUAACACAUGCAAGUCGAACGGAAAGGCCCUGCUUUUGUGGGGUGCUCGAGUGGCGAACGGGUGAGUAACACGUGAGUAACCUGCCCUUGACUUUGGGAUAACUUCAGGAAACUGGGGCUAAUACCGGAUAGGAGCUCCUGCUGCAUGGUGGGGGUUGGAAAGUUUCGGCGGUUGGGGAUGGACUCGCGGCUUAUCAGCUUGUUGGUGGGGUAGUGGCUUACCAAGGCUUUGACGGGUAGCCGGCCUGAGAGGGUGACCGGCCACAUUGGGACUGAGAUACGGCCCAGACUCCUACGGGAGGCAGCAGUGGGGAAUAUUGCACAAUGGGCGGAAGCCUGAUGCAGCAACGCCGCGUGCGGGAUGACGGCCUUCGGGUUGUAAACCGCUUUCGCCUGUGACGAAGCGUGAGUGACGGUAAUGGGUAGAGAAGCACCGGCUAACUACGCG